CCUACGGGCGGCAGCAGUGAGGAAUAUUGGUCAAUGGCCGGAAGGCUGAACCAGCCAAGUCGCGUGAGGGAAUAAGGCCCUAUGGGUCGUAAACCUCUUUUGUCAGGGAGCAAAGGCGUCCACGUGUGGACGAGAGGAGAGUACCUGAAGAAAAAGCAUCGGCUAACUCCGUGCCAGCAGCCGCGGUAAUACGGAGGAUGCGAGCGUUAUCCGGAUUUAUUGGGUUUAAAGGGUGCGUAGGCGGAGUGUCAAGUCAGCGGUAAAAUUUCGGGGCUCAACCCCGUCGUGCCGUUGAAACUGACGCCCUUGAGUGAGUGAGAAGUAGGCGGAAUGCGUGGUGUAGCGGUGAAAUGCAUAGAUAUCACGCAGAACACCAGUGGCGAAAGCGGCUCUCUGGUCUGUAACUGACGCUGAGGUUCGAAAGCGUGGGUAGCAAACAGGAUUAGAUACCCCUGUAGUC
rnacentral:rRNA from 1 species